rnacentral:rRNA from 1 species
GAUGAACGCUGGCGGCGUGCCUAAUACAUGCAAGUCGAGCGAACAGACGAGGAGCUUGCUCCUCUGACGUUAGCGGCGGACGGGUGAGUAACACGUGGAUAACCUACCUAUAAGACUGGGAUAACUUCGGGAAACCGGAGCUAAUACCGGAUAAUAUAUUGAACCGCAUGGUUCAAUAGUGAAAGACGGUUUUGCUGUCACUUAUAGAUGGAUCCGCGCCGCAUUAGCUAGUUGGUAAGGUAACGGCUUACCAAGGCGACGAUGCGUAGCCGACCUGAGAGGGUGAUCGGCCACACUGGAACUGAGACACGGUCCAGACUCCUACGGGAGGCCGCCGUAGGGAAUCUUCCGGCAUGGGCGAAAGCCUGAAGGAGCAACGCCGCGUGAGUGAUGAAGGUCUUCCGAUCCUAAAACUCUGUUAUUAGGGAAGAAACAAUGUGUAAGUUACUAUGCCCGUCUUGGAGGUUCCUAAUCCGAAAGCCACCGCUAACCUCGUG